rnacentral:misc_RNA from 1 species
AAGUCGUAACAAGGUUUCCGUAGGUGAACCUGCGGAAGGAUCAUUAUUGAAUAAACCUGAUGUAGUUGUAGCUGGCUCCUAGGAGCAUGUGCACGCUCGUCACUUUUAUCUUUCCACCUGUGCACCCAUUGUAGGCCUGGAUAACCCUCGCUUGGUUUCAAGCGGACGCGAGAAUUGCUGCUGCUCUUUCUGCAAGGAAAGGCCGGCUUUUUUCGAAUUUCCAGGUCUAUGUUUUCUUACAUACCCCAAUUGAAUGUUACCGAAUGUUAUCAAUGGGCAUAUGCCUAUAAAACACAAUACAACUUUCAGCAACGGAUCUCUUGGCUCUC